rnacentral:rRNA from 1 species
GACGAAUGCUGGCUGCGUGCUUAACACAUGCAAGUCGAACGGUGAAGGGGAGCUUGCUCCCCGGAUCAGUGGCGAACGGGUGAGUAACACGUGGGCAACCUGCCCCUCACUCUGGGAUAACUCCGGGAAACCGGGGCUAAUACCGGAUACGACCGGGAGCGACAUCGUUCCUGGUGGAAAGAACUUCGGUGAGGGAUGGGCCCGCGGCCUAUCAGCUAGUUGGUGGGGUAACGGCCCACCAAGGCGACGACGGGUAGCCGGCCUGAGAGGGGGACCGGCCACACUGGGACAGAGACACGGCCCAGACUCCUACGGGAGGCAGCAGUGGGGAAUAUUGCGCAAUGGGCGAAAGCCUGACGCAGCGACGCAGCGUGAGGGACGAAGGCCUUCGGGUUGUAAACCUCUUUCAGCGGGGACGAAGCGAAAGUGACGGUACCCGCAGAAGAAGCACCGGCUAACUACGUGCCAGCAGCCGCGGUAA